rnacentral:rRNA from 1 species
GACGAACGCUGGCGGCGGGCUUAACACAUGCAAGUCGAACGGAAAGGCCCUGCUUUUGUGGGGUGCUCGAGUGGCGAACGGGUGAGUAACACGUGAGUAACCUGCCCUUGACUUUGGGAUAACUUCAGGAAACUGGGGCUAAUACCGGAUAGGAGAUCCUGCUGCAUGGUGGGGGUUGGAAAGUUUCGGCGGUUGGGGAUGGACUCGCGGCUUACCAGCUUGUUGGUGGGGUAGUGGCUUACCAAGGCUUUGACGGGUAGCCGGCCUGAGAGGGUGACCGGCCACCUUGGGCCUGAGAUACGGACCAGACUCCUAUGGGAGGCAGCAGUGGGGAAUCUUGUCCAAUGGGCCGACGCCUGAUGCAGCAACGCCGCGUUCGUGAAGACGGUUUUCGGGUUGUAAACCGCUUUAGCUUGUGACGACGCGUGAGUGACGGUAAUGGGUAAAGAAGCACCGGCUAACUACGUG